CGGUGGCCGUCUUGGAUCACUCAGUUCUUCGGAAGUUUAUGAAAAAAAUCGGGGAUUGCGCUGUUUUUACCCCAAAAUAUUAUCCUUUCUUUGUAAUUUGUGCCUCGAAUGAUAAAAAGGAGAAUCCACUGGACACAAAAGGUGCUAGACAUUCAGAUAAGGCUGUGAACGUUUGACAGGUGAACUCUUUGAGACUUUUGAACAGUGUGGGUAUACUGAGUGGAGCUAUGGCCAUCUCGAGAAAAAAGCCAACAUAGUAUUAUAAAGCCAGAAGGUUACAGAUCACUGGAAAAGAGAGAAGCUUUUCGUAUCCUGCAAAACACAGGCAGCUCUGUGAGUGUUCAGAGCGACAGAAAUCCACGUAGAUUUAGUGGGAAGACAUCACCCUAAAGAUGAGCGCUCAACUCCUUCAUCCCGGUGUUGAAGCUUCGAAGAUGCUGGAGGCAGCUUUGCAGCAAAUGGAUGGAAUUAUAGCAGGAACUCAGUUAGAGCUAGCAAGUCUCCCAGACCGGAGUGUCUCUCCAGUCGCCACGAUAUCAGAGUUAGCGGAUAAGCUGCGGCUCGCACUGCAAAGCUCGCAGGUAUG